rnacentral:rRNA from 1 species
UACGUAGGGGGCUAGCGUUGUCCGGAAUCAUUGGGCGUAAAGAGCGUGUAGGCGGUCCGGUAAGUCCGCUGUGAAAGUCGGGGGCUCAACCCUCGAAUGCCGGUGGAUACUGUCGGGCUAGAGUGCGGAAGAGGAGAGUGGAAUUCCCGGUGUAGCGGUGAAAUGCGCAGAUAUCGGGAAGAACACCCGUGGCUAAGGCGGCUCUCUAGUACGGUACUGACGCUGAGACGCGAAAGCGUGGGGAGCGAACAGG